GGUGUAAUCUAGAAAAAACAUCAAUUACUAGGAUGAAAAGGAGUGGUGAUAGAGAGUUAUCUUAAUGGAGUCCUCUAUGGCAUCUGAUCAAUCUUUCAGAUUUGCCAUUAACAAUAAGAGCCACCAAUGCCGAAGAGAGAAGGCUCCUUAUCCAACCAAUCCACCUUUCAGGCAGCCAUGACCUUUGAGCAAGUCAAGUAAGAAGUCCAAGAUAAUAGUGUCGAAGGCUUUUUCAAAAUCUAAUUUAUAUGGAAUAUUUUUUUAUCCCGACCUUCUGCAUGUAAUAAGCUAAUCAUCUCAUAUGCACUUAAGAAGUUCUAUAUAAUAGAUUUUUCUUUGAUAAAAGCUGAUUGAUUGUCAUUGAUGAGAGUUGAAAGGAAGGGAGCCAAGCGACUAGAGAGAAUCUUUGUGAUAAUUUUGUUUAUGCUGUUGAGGAGGCUGAUCGGUCUCAAGUCCCGAGUAUUUAAAAAGCCUUGCUUCUUAGGAAUUAGAGUAUGAGUAGUUAAAGAGCCUUCCUAGUUGUUGAACUAUUCAGGACAGCAAAUCUAGCUAGGAUGUUGUCGUAAUAUAAAAAAAACACAUAAAAAGCCAAUC
rnacentral:lncRNA from 1 species